GAUGAACGCUAGCUACAGGCUUAACACAUGCAAGUCGAGGGACCGGCGCCCGGGUGAGUAACACGUAUCCAACCUGCCCUUUACUCGGGGAUAGCCUUUCGAAAGAAAGAUUAAUACCCGAUAUAAAGGAUGGGGAUGCGUUCCAUUAGGUUGUUGGUGAUGUAACGCUUCACCAAGCCUUCGAUGGAUAGGGGUUCGGAGAGGAAUGUCCCCCAAAUUGGAACUGAGGCACGGUCCAAACUCCUACGGGGGGCAGCAGUGAGGAAUAUUGGUCAAUGGGCGCUAGCCUGAACCAGCCAAUUAGCGUGAAGGAGUAAGGCUUAUGGGUCGUAAACUUCUGUUAUAUAAGAAUAUGUAUUAUAUGAAUAAGGAUCGGCUAACUCCGUGCCAGCAGCCGCGGUAAUUC
rnacentral:rRNA from 1 species